UCGACCUGAGUUCAGACGAGACCACCCGCUCAACUUAAGCAUAUCAGUCGGCGGAGGAAAAGAAACUAACCAGGAUUCCCCUAGUAGCGGCGAGCGAAGCGGGAAGAGCCCAACUUGAAAAUCUGGGACCUUCGGUCCUCGAAUUGUAGUCUAUAGAAGCGUGCCCUGCGACGGACCAUGCCCAAGUGCUCUGGAAGGGGCCGUCAGAGAGGGUGAGAACCCCGUCGGCGUGGCCACCGAUCGCUUCACGGGCCGCUCUCGCAGAGUCGGGUUGCUUGGGAAUGCAGCCCUAAGUAGGAGGUAAAUCCCUUCUAAGGCUAAAUACUGGCGAGAGACCGAUAGCG
rnacentral:rRNA from 1 species